rnacentral:rRNA from 1 species
GGUCCUGCCUGCCCAGUGACGAAUGUUAAACGGCCGCGGUAUAAUAACCGUGCUAAGGUAGCGCAAUCACUUGUCUUCUAAUUAAGGACCGGUAUGAACGGCAAGACGAGGGUCUAACUGUCUCCUUUUCCCAGUCAAUGAAAUUGAUCUUCCCGUGCAGAAGCGGGAAUACCCCUAUAAGACGAGAAGACCCUGUGAAGCUUCAGACACUAGAAAGCCCCCACAGCAAACCUGCCCCACCGGCUAUGAUUUUGGGGGCCCUUCUUCUACUUGUCUUUGGUUGGGGCGACCACGGAGGAAAAUACAGCCUCCACGAGGAUUGAGAGAACCCCUCUCACAGCCGCGGCCCCUCAGCCCAAGCCCCAGAAUAUCUGACCAUAAUGAUCCGGCUCAUGCCGAUUAACAGACCAAGUUACUCCAGGGAUAACAGCGCAAUCCCCUCCCAGAGCCCCUAUCGACGAGGGGGGUUACGACCUCGAUGUUGGAUCAGGGCAUCCUAAUGGUGCAACCGCUAUUAAUGGUUCGUUUGUUCAACGAUUAAAGCCCUACGUGAUC